UGGAUGCAGCCAAGUCACUGUGAAAGCCUCGGCUUCCGCAGAGCAGCCCUGGCUUUGGAAGCGGGAAGUUGGGUUUUGCUGGUGUUUGACAGGUGUCGUGGCUCAAAGUCUGAAUAUUGCCACCUCCUUCCCCCCUCUUGUUUCUGUAUUGUGACACAUUUUUACAGAACAGAGUGCAUCUCGGGUUCAGGAGUGUUGUCAGAAUUUGACCAGAUGAAUGAAAGAAUAAAAGUAAUAGCUCUGACAGCCACGUUACAAAGCACAAUUGCUUUGGUGCUGCUGGGGGCAAUUGACAGGAACGGUAUCAGUGGUGUGGAAAAGCAACGCUGUUUUCACAAAUGAUUAAUAUUGGAUGAAUUUAUUUUGGGUAGAGUGCGGAAGUAGUGCCCACUAGGUGUUUCCAACAAAUACUGGAGCCUUACCAAAAACUUAAUGCCAGUGAAGGAAAUGAGAUGCUCAAAUAGUGUUUCACCUCUUCAUCUUUACACACAAACUAAGACCUGUGGGGUUUGAGUUUGUUUUCCUAGUAAAAGCAUAAAAUACCUGAUAAACUGGUGUAAGUUAAUGAGGCAGUGCUAUCAGAAUAAGGGACUACAUUGGCAUUCUCCCAGGCUCCAAAAAUAAACAGUUUUGUUUGCUUUAAAAACUUGUUCCCUGGACAGAGUGCUAUAAAUACAGAUUUUUCUUAGUUUGGCAUCCGCAGUAAUUGAAGAGCUGAAAAACUGCAACCUGCAAUAAUUUGUUCUUGGGUUUCUCUUUAGAAAUAAUGGGGCUAAUUGCAAUUUUUUUCCUGCUUGCUUUUAUCAAGAUCCAGGUUGCUGAAGAUUUCAGUUACUCAUUUGAAGCAGGAAUGGUAAAUCACACACCAAAAAAACCUUUCAGAGUUGUCUCUUGGCAUGUAAGGCAUCAUCCUGCCAGCUGCCCUAUAGUCUGUAGCAUCUUGCAAGAAAGCCAGGGUGGGCACUACUCAAAUGGCUCCAAUAUGAAAGAGGAAGAAAAGUAAGACCAGCAAGGCUAUCAUGUAAGGAGGAAAAGGAAGAAGUCUGAUUCGGAAGUAUCUGAAGCCUUCUCCACCCUGACUGGCAAGUUCAGAAAACUUUAAAGAUUUGUUGACUAAUAUUUCCUGUUGGAAUCUGCUGAGCUCUGCUAUUGCAAAUGCUGCUGCUUUAACUGCACUUGGAUGAGAAUAAACCAAAUCCACUCUA